rnacentral:rRNA from 1 species
CCCUUAGAUGUUCUGAACCGCACGCGUGUUACACUGAUGCAUUCAACGAGCUUUACCUUGGCCGAGAGGCCUGGGAAAUCUUUUUAGCAUGCAUCGUGAUAGGGAUUGAUUAUUGCAAUUAUUAAUCAUGAACGAGGAAUUCCUAGUAAACGCAUUUCAUCAAAAUGCAUUGAUUACGUCCCUGCCCUUUGUACACACCGCCCGUCGCACCUACCGAUUGGAUGGUCCGGUGAAGCCUCGGGAUUGUGGUUCUUGCCGCUUUAUUGUGGCGUGACCGCGAGAACUUGUCUAAACCUUAUCAUCUAGAGGAAGGUGAAGUCGUAACA